rnacentral:rRNA from 1 species
UACGUAGGUCCCGAGCGUUGUCCGGAUUUAUUGGGCGUAAAGCGAGCGCAGGUGGUUUAUUAAAUCUGGUGUAAAAGGCAGUGGCUCAACCAUUGUAUGCAUUGGAAACUGGUAGACUUGAGUGCAGGAGAGGAGAGUGGAAUUCCAUGUGUAGCGGUGAAAUGCGUAGAUAUUAGGAGGAACACCAGUGGCGAAGGCGGCUUUCUGGACUGUAACUGACACUGAGGUACGAAAGCGUGGGUAUCGAACAGG